rnacentral:lncRNA from 1 species
UUUUAGUGAAUUUUAUAUUUUUUCGGAAGAGCUCCAUUUUUUUUGUGCGUUGAAAGUGCAGAGACCCACAAUAACAAAUGUGUAGGAUAAUGUUGGGAAAAAAUGAAAAAAGAAAACAUAUGUGCAACAUCUUCAACUAGUUGUCUUCGAUGAAAAAAAAUAAAGAAUACACAAAUUUAUGCAUAUUGUAAAUUCUUUAAUCGUAGUUGCACAUAUGAAUGAAUUUCCUAAGCUGAGAGUAUCUAUUAACAAAUAAAGAGGCACUUUGAUUAUUCCAUUAUAAACGACCAGGGCCAAAAGAGAUGGUUGAGGCCAAUGUUCAAAUAAGGGCUGUUACAUGAACAUAGAGGCCUCUGUGUUCACCAAUGAGUUACAACCCAUUACGAUA